GACGAACGCUGGCGGCGUGCCUAAUACAUGCAAGUUGAGCGCUGAAGGUUGGUACUUGUCCCAACUGGAUGAGCAGCGAACGGGUGAGUAACGCGUGGGGAAUCUGCCUUUGAGCGGGGGACAACAUUUGGAAACGAAUGCUAAUACCGCAUAAAAACUUUAAACACAAGUUUUAAGUUUGAGAGAUGCAAUUGCAUCACUCAAAGAUGAUCCCGCGUUGUAUUAGCUAGUUGGUGAGGUAAAGGCUCACCAAGGCGAUGAUACAUAGCCGACCUGAGAGGGUGAUCGGCCACACUGGGACUGAGACACGGCCCAAACUCCUACGGGAGGCAGCAGUAGGGAAUCUUCGGCAAUGGACGAAAGUCUGACCGAGCAACGCCGCGUGAGUGAAGAAGGUUUUCGGAUCGUAAAACUCUGUUGGUAGAGAAGAACGUUGGUGAGAGUGGAAAGCUCAUCAAGUGACGGUAACUACCCAGAAAGGGACGGCUAACUACGUG
rnacentral:rRNA from 1 species